rnacentral:lncRNA from 12 species
GGGGAAGGCAUGUUGGAAGAUACAGACUAACACUUUGAGCUCUUUUACUUCAUCUUCCUUUGAUGUCCAGGACACAAUGAGUAAGAAGUGCCAGAAUGCCCUGUCAUACCCUCAGGCGGGCCCUCAGCAGCCCUGAAUGCCAGGAGGGCCCACAGCUGCUCUGGCCUCCGUGGCUCCCAGGUGCUCAUCUGCAUUAUUUCAGAAGAGGCUUGAGGGCAGAGCUAGGCCUUUCUAUCAUCUUCACCAUUGGGCUUCCCUGGCCCUUGAGGAAGAACCUUCUGGAAGCAGACACAUCAGCCUUUGGCAAUGAAUACAAGAAGUCCUUGUGUCUGCAGACCAGAAUUUUGCUGACUCAGCAACCUGGGCCUCACUGGAAUACAGAGGAAUGCAUCAAAACCUCUGGGAGAAACCUUUGCCAGGACUUAGUAAGCCUUAUGUUCAUAGUCUGAGCAUUUAUACACAUCCCAUGAAGCUUUAUGAAAUCUUGCUCAUCAGCUCCAGACUGCAGAAUAAAUCCUAGCUAGAAUGAUUGAUUAAUACUCA